rnacentral:rRNA from 1 species
AGUGAACGCUGGCGGUAGGCCUAACACAUGCAAGUCGAACGGCAGCACAGUAAGAGCUUGCUCUUACGGGUGGCGAGUGGCGGACGGGUGAGGAAUACAUCGGAAUCUACUUUUUCGUGGGGGAUAACGUAGGGAAACUUACGCUAAUACCGCAUACGACCUACGGGUGAAAGCAGGGGAUCUUCGGACCUUGCGCGAUUGAAUGAGCCGAUGUCGGAUUAGCUAGUUGGCGGGGUAAAGGCCCACCAAGGCGACGAUCCGUAGCUGGUCUGAGAGGAUGAACGACCAACUGGGAAUGGGAAAAGGGCCAGAAACCUUAGGGAGGGAACAGGGGGGGAAUUUGGGAAAAGGGGGGAAACCUGAACAAGACAAGCCGGGGGGGGGAAAAAAGGCCUUGGGUUGUAAAACCCUUUUUUUGGGGAAAAAAAAACAGGAGGUUAAAACCCCGCUGUUUGAAGGUACCCAAAAAAAAAAACACGGCUAAAUUCGUG